AUGUUGAACAGGUUAGCUUAUGAGCUAAAGUUACUUAGCACAGAUGAAAGUUAAAACAAAGACGUUUAGCAAACUGUUAAAGCACACAAACCAUCGUCAUAUGAGAAAUCCGACACUAUGACUCUCCACAAGUUGUCCUUCAGGUUGUUAUCUUUGUAAUGUUUGUGUCUUUUAUCAAAAAGCACUCUGUUCUCCAACAUGUAAACAAUCAGCCAGUCGGCCAUGUUGGAUAUACCGGUGAAUCAGACGUCGCAACAACACAAAAUCUGAUUGGUCAGAAGUGGACACACAGUAUGCGAAACUUUAGAAAAAUCUACCGUGAUAUGAAAAAAUAAAUGCUGCAAUAUCGCAGGACGGGAAAACGUCGCUGAUGUGAACGCUUGUAUUGACAGGAUACGGGUUCGAAAAAAAAUAUUGACGUCCGAAAUAAUCGCACGAAAAAAACGCUCCCGGUGUGAAAGGACCUUAA